rnacentral:rRNA from 1 species
AUUGAACGCUGGCGGCAUGCCUUACACAUGCAAGUCGAACGGCAGCGCGGGGGCAACCCUGGCGGCGAGUGGCGAACGGGUGAGUAACACAUCGGAACGUGCCCAGUAGUGGGGGAUAGCCCGGCGAAAGCCGGAUUAAUACCGCACACGACCUGAGGGUGAAAGCGGGGGACCGCAAGGCCUCGCGCUAUUGGAGCGGCCGAUGUCAGAUUAGGUAGUUGGUGGGGUAAGGGCCUACCAAGCCGACGAUCUGUAGCUGGUCUGAGAGGACGACCAGCCACACUGGGACUGAGACACGGCCCANACUCCUACGGGAGGCAGCAGUGGGGAAUUUUGGACAAUGGGGGCAACCCUGAUCCAGCCAUGCCGCGUGCGGGAAGAAGGCCUUCGGGUUGUAAACCGCUUUUGUCGGGGAAGAAAUCCUCUGGGUUAAUACCCUGGGGGGAUGACGGUACCCGAAGAAUAAGCACCGGCUAACUACGUGCCAGCAGCCGCGGUAAUACGUAGGGUGCGAGCGUUAAUCGGAAUUACUGGGCGUAAAGCGUGCGCAGGCGGUUGUGCAAGACAGAUGUGAAAUCCCCGGGCUUAACCUGGGAACUGCAUUUGUGACUGCACGGCUGGAGUACGGCAGAGGGGGAUGGAAUUCCGCGUGUAGCAGUGAAAUGCGUAGAUAUGCGGAGGAACACCGAUGGCGAAGGCAGUCCCCUGGGCCUGUACUGACGCUCAUGCACGAAAGCGUGGGGAGCAAACAGGAUCAGAUACCCUGGUAGUCCACGCCCUAAACGAUGUCAACUGGUUGUUGGGAAGGUCCCUUCUCAGUAACGUAGCUAACGCGUGAAGUUGACCGCCUGGGGAGUACGGCCGCAAGGUUGAAACUCAAAGGAAUUGACGGGGACCCGCACAAGCGGUGGAUGAUGUGGUUUAAUUCGAUGCAACGCGAAGAACCUUACCUACCCUUGACAUGCCUGGAACCCUGCAGAGAUGUGGGGGUGCCCGAAAGGGAGCCAGGACACAGGUGCUGCAUGGCCGUCGUCAGCUCGUGUCGUGAGAUGUUGGGUUAAGUCCCGCAACGAGCGCAACCCUUGCCAUUAGUUGCUACGAAAGGGCACUCUAAUGGGACUGCCGGUGACAAACCGGAGGAAGGUGGGGAUGACGUCAGGUCCUCAUGGCCCUUAUGGGUAGGGCUACACACGUCAUACAAUGGCCGGUACAGAGGGCAGCCAACCCGCGAGGGGGAGCCAAUCCCAGAAAACCGGUCGUAGUCCGGAUCGCAGUCUGCAACUCGACUGCGUGAAGUCGGAAUCGCUAGUAAUCGCGGAUCAGCUUGCCGCGGUGAAUACGUUCCCGGGUCUUGUACACACCGCCCGUCACACCAUGGGAGCGGGUUCUGCCAGAAGUAGUUAGCCUAACCGCAAGGAGGGCGAUUACCACGGCAGGGUUCGUGACUGGGGUG